rnacentral:rRNA from 1 species
AGUGAACGCUGGCGGUAGGCCUAACACAUGCAAGUCGAACGGCAGCACAGUAAGAGCUUGCUCUUACGGGUGGCGAGUGGCGGACGGGUGAGGAAUACAUCGGAAUCUACUUUUUCGUGGGGGAUAACGUAGGGAAACUUACGCUAAUACCGCAUACGACCUACGGGUGAAAGCAGGGGAUCUUCGGACCUUGCGCGAUUGAAUGAGCCGAUGUCGGAUUAGCUAGUUGGCGGGGUAAAGGCCCACCAAGGCGACGAUCCGUAGCUGGUCUGAAAGGAUGAUCAGCCACACUGGAACUGAGACACGGUCCAUACUCCUACGGGAGGCAGCAGUGGGGAAUAUUGGACAAUGGGCGCAAGCCUGAUCCAGCCAUACCGCGUGGGUGAAGAAGGCCUUCGGGUUGUAAAGCCCUUUUGUUGGGAAAGAAAAGCAGCAGGUUAAUACCCCGCUGUUCUGACGGUACCCAAAGAAUAAGCACCGGCUAACUUCGUG